rnacentral:misc_RNA from 1 species
GUACUGAUGCCGGGGUAUGUGGACCUCUGGUCGCAGACCUUGCCCAUACCCAACGCUGAUCCGGAAGUCGCGCUGUUCCUCCAUGGACCUGAUCGCGCCGGCGCUACUGUGCAACUCGUAUGGCGCGCUGACAUCGACGAGCAGAAGGACCUUCG